rnacentral:lncRNA from 1 species
CAGAGACAGGGUCUUCGCUCAAGCUGUUCCACUUAAGGAAAUGAGAAGAAAGAAUAGGCUGGAUCAAAGCAGAAAGAAUAGGCUGAUGGAAGGAUCCAUGAAAACCAUACAAGGCUGAAAAAGAAUGAUCAACUAGUGUCACCAGUCCUCCCACGUGUUUACCUUCAUAUGUAAAAGCAUCAGAUGAGAGAAAGGCAGAGAAAUAGCUUAAUGGGAAAGCAGAAAAAGAAAGGGAAAGCUGCAAGGGCCCAAAAGAAUAUCGGAAAAACAAACACAUAUGAGUACUUAGGAACAAGCAAGAGCUACCAGAAAGAUGAGUAAAAGACAAAAAAUAUUUCUGAAGAAAACCAGCCACAGAGAAG